UACGAAGGGGGCGAGCGUUGCUCGGAAUUACUGGGCGUAAAGAGUAUGUAGGCGGUGCGUUAAGUUAGAUGUGAAAGCCUGGAGCUCAACUCCAGAACUGCAUUUAAUACUGGCGCGCUGGAAUUAUGGAGAGGUCGGCGGAAUUCCCAGUGUAGAGGUGAAAUUCGUAGAUAUUGGGAGGAACACCAAAGGCGUAGGCAGCCGACUGGCCAAUAAUUGACGCUGAGAUACGAAAGCGUGGGGAGCAAACAGG
rnacentral:rRNA from 1 species